CGUUAAACUGGGGAUAAUACCGGAUAUAUGGGGCUGCCUGGAAUGGUGACCCAUUGAAAUGCUCCGGCGCCUAAGGAUGGAUCUGCGGCAGAUUAGGUAGUUGGCGGGGUAAAUGCCCACCAAGCCAGUAAUCUGUACGGGUUGGGAGAGCAAGAGCCCGGAGAUGGAACCUGAGACAAGGUUCCAGGCCCUACGUGGCGCAGCAGGCGCGAAACCUCCGCAAUGCGAGCAAUCGCGACGGGGGAAACCCAAGUGCCACUCUUAACGGGGUGGCUUUUCUGAAGUGUAAAAAGCUUCAGGAAUAAGAGCUGGGCAAGACCGGUGCCAGCCGCCGCGGUAAUA
rnacentral:rRNA from 1 species